rnacentral:rRNA from 1 species
GAUGAACGCUGGCGGCGUGCCUAACACAUGCAAGUCGAGCGAAGCGCCUUACUUGAUUUCUUCGGGAUGAAAGUAUUGUGACUGAGCGGCGACGGGUGAGUAACGCGUGGGUAACCUGCCUCAUACAGGGGGAUAACAGUUAGAAAUGACUGCUAAUACCGCAUAACGUGCGGUCCUCGCAUGGGGACUGUACCAAAGAUUUUAUCGCUGGAAGAUGAGCUCGCGGCCGAUUAGGUAGUUGGUGAGAUAACAGCCCACCAAGCCGACGAUCGGUAGCCGGACUGAGAGGUUGAUCGGCCACAUUGGGACUGAGACACGGCCCAG